rnacentral:rRNA from 1 species
AACGAACGCUGGCGGCGCGCCUAAUACAUGCAAGUCGAGCGAGAAGACGUAGCAAUACGUUUGUAAAGCGGCGAACGGGUGAGGAAUACAUGGGGUAACCUACCCUCGAGUGGGGAAUAACUAGCCGAAAGGUUAGCUAAUACCGCGUACGCUCCUUGGACUUCGGUUCAGGGAGGAAAGCGAUACCGUGGGUAUCGCGCUCUUGGGAUGGGCUCAUGUCCUAUCAGCUUGUUGGUGAGGAACGGCUCACCAAGGCUUCGACGGGUAGCUGGUCUGAGAGGACGAUCAGCCACACUGGCACUGCGACACGGGCCAGACUCCUACGGGAGGCAGCAGUAAGGAAUAUUGCGCAAUGGGCGAAAGCCUGACGCAGCGACGCCGCGUGGGGGAUGAAGGUCUUCGGAGUU